GGAGAGGUGCUGGAGUGGCCGAACAGGCUCGCCUGGAAAGCGUGUAGAUGGCUAAAACUGUCUCGAGGGUUCGAAUCCCUCCCUCUCCGCCA
rnacentral:tRNA from 1 species